rnacentral:lncRNA from 1 species
GAGACAGUGCUCUAGCGAUGGUCACAGGUAUAAGCUGUUAGCUAGAGCAAUUUCAGCAGUUGGGAGGUGAGCAUAUCAACCCACAAGGUUGUCUGAGAGGGACAACAACUUCUGCUGUUAGUUUACUUUUGGGUAUAAACGUGAACUUUGAGGAAAGAGUUAAAUUCAAUUAAAAACAAAUUCGUUGAGUGUCUACUAUGUGCAAAACAAUAUGUUGUGGCAAAAGGGGGACGCAAUGUGAAAGAUCUGUUGCCCUCGAGAAGAAACGACCCUGCAUAUCAGCAAGGUAUCUUUUCCUGAAGCCGGUCUUCAUUAACAGGCUUGGUCUUUCUCCCAGUGGAGAAAUCACUUGGGCCACUUCUGCAUCUAGAGUGUCAGACCCAAGCUAGGAAAAAGAAUCAUCUUUAAAAGUAUGUCAUCAGCACUCAAGACCUUUAAUGAGCCAGCGGAAUUGGUCUCCUGGUCCUCUCCUCACUCCACAGAGACUGAAAACGAACCAGACAGAGGACGAGAGUCCGCAUGCUGAACCACUUAAAUUCACAUGGCGGCUAAGAAGACAAGAGUUUCGGCAGGCAUAGAGGCUAAGAGAGUUAAGAGCAUCCUCCGUGCCUAGUACAGUCCCCAGCUGCAUCAUAAACAGAUGAAAUGAAAAAGUUUUUUCUCCCAAUCAAGCCAGCAGGAGAGCAAGGGUCUGUGGUACCUGGGGACAAUGCACCAUGCUUACACCCUCUCUAGCCACAUGUAUGCUACUGCGGAAUUGGCAAAGACAGGUAUGUUCCCAUAGAUGAGGCAUGCAUACAGACAGGUGCCUGGAAACCACAAGCCCUCCAAGGCUUUCCUGUGCUAAGCCUGAUUUACGAGCUAGUCACCCAUGCCUGACUCAAGUCCAAGAUCUGGGCUGAACAGCCUCUUCUGCAUUUUCUGAUGUGUGACGCCUAUUGUGUGCCCCUUCUGGGAUCCUCAUGACUCCUGCCAGUCCUUUCAUGGGUGGAGGCUUUGAGUGAUCCUCGAGAACCAGGAGAGUAAGGAGUGACUUAUAUAGGAUCAGAAUAACCAUGCAACUACAUCCCAGGAGCUGUGUGCUCAGUGGGUGAUUAAAUGUGCUGUUUACUUUGUAUCCUCGGUUGUCUACUCAGAGCUCUUUUAUUAAAGUUUGUGUAAUGCUUCCUAGCCAUUAAAACAGCAUUUCGUAAAUGGGCUUACUUUGGGAGGCUGAGAUGCCCAGAAGCAUGGAGGCACCUGUCUCGGGUGGAGACACCUGAGGUAUUAUUUACAGAUUUAUGUAUUAAACAAACAAACCUGACACUCCUUUUCUAUUCCAGAGUGCAACCCUUUUUAGUCAUCAACCUGGGGGAGAGAUCUCUUCUGCACAUAAAAGUAUCCCCACAGCAUUGUGAUCACACUGGAGAAAGUGGACGGGAUAAAGAGAAGGAAGGACGUUUUGUUGAGUGCCUUCUAUGUGCUGUUCGCUCUGCUGAGCUUCAAGUUUCUCAAAUAUAAAUGGGGGAGAGGCUGGGCGCGGUGGCUUACGCCUGUAAUUCCAGAACUUUUGGAGGCCAAGGCGAGCAGAUCACAAGGACCGCACCGAACCUGGAAGAGCUCCCAACAACACAGAGAAGAAUAUUAGGGAUGUGGGUGCUGUUACAUGCAUUAGUGUUUCUUGAUUGACAAUACCCGCCAGAUGGACACCCAGAAACACACCUGUAAAACAAAGUUAAGUUUAUUGGCUUGUUGGAAUUUGAGAAAACCACACCAAAGGGAGCCAUGUAUUGUCUCAGUAACAAGGUGCUAGAAAGAACUUACAGGAAUUGGGCUUGUGUGAGGUGAUUUUGAAGUAGAUUCAAAAAAGUGGAAGUUUGCUCUCAAUUGGGCACUGUGAGUAAAUGGACGCAAUUCUAUGAUUGUGUAUCUUAGCAUAUCUGAUCUAUGGGGGGACAGACAACUGUGAGGUUUCAGCUGUGAUUGGCAAGGAAGCUGCAGUCACCAUAUUAUCUGGGAAAGAGGGACGGUUGGUAUUUUGAGGAUUGGUACUUUAUGUUGUAUUUUUGAACAACACUCAUGUUUUGUCUGUACUGAGACAUGAUUACAGAGUGGUCUUGUUUUUGCCUGGCUCUGUCAUGGUCACACAGACAUUGUGACAUUGGUGUUCCAUAAAAGUUUUCAUGUGCAACAGAAGAACACCAGGCCUGCUCUGAGUGUCAAGCCAGUUCCCAGAAUUACAAACGGCCAGUUUUUCAUGUUAGAUCAGCACUUAGCUGUUAGCAGCUACUUUUCUCUUUCUCAAUUCAUUGUUGUUUCUCAGGAAAAUGUCCCUGCCUGGAGCUCGAAACCAGUAAGAAAGUUUUCAAAGCACACUGAAGACCAAAGCCAAGUAGGAGCCUGAACAAGCCUGGAUUUGCCCACUGGAGGAUGAGAAGACGCUUGAAGCAGAGUCCAGAACACAGAGAAGAGUCCAAUUAAGAUCAGCAAAGCUGCCUAACCAACCCACACCUACCUACCCAUAGAGAAAUGGAUGAGCUCUACCAAGCCCAGUUCACCCCAGUGGAAAUGACUACCCAUCUGCAUAUGCAAAGCUGAAUAAAUGCUUAUCACUUGAAACCAUUGGGUGUGGGGUUUUUAUGCAGCAAUAGCUAACUGCUACAAGCCACCAAGUAGAAGAUGCUUUCCUUCAGAGAACACCUAAUUUCUUUUUACAUACAAACCCGCUUUGCAUUUGAAUUUCUUGCUAAGGCUGAGCAGGC